AGUUAGAGGAAAGACUCUCAGGAAGGCACCUCCGCCUUUCUUGCCUGGCUGUGCUUGAGGGAGGAGUGAGUACUGUAAUCCUCUCCAGCGGGGAAAGAAUCCUCAGGCCUUUAUCUCCCCUACCUAUGUCCCUGCCCUGUGGCCUGUGACUGCAUGGUCCUGAUACUGCUUCUGUUUCUGCUGUGCCUAUUUUUUCCUGCUUUAGGUGAAGGAAUAUUGGUGAUGGGUUCAAUCUUGUGAGCUUUGAAAGGUUGGGAAAGAGAACACCAGAGCUGGAACCCGUGCUACGAUUUGCUGGAGACUGAACACAGGCGAAUGGAUAUCCUGAAAUGUGAGUGCCUAAGUCACCAGGAGAUCCACCAAAGCCACCCAAUGUUCCACAAACAACCAGAGUCUUGAGAGAAUGGCAGCAAUAGUUGAGUCUAAUGAAGAGUCCAUCACACAAGCAACCUGCUUGACCCAGACCAACUGAAGACUGACCUAUCAGUUAAGACUUCAUACAAGGAGUCAGUUCAGCUAAACAAAGGACUAACUAAUGUCAACUGGUUGAUCAAUAUUGAGGGAGCAUACCAGACGGGGUCUCAUGAGUAACAGUAUUAGAAGCUACAAGCUCUCAAGGUUACCUCUAGAAUCCAGAAGAGAGCAGUAACCAGCCACCCUCUGGGAACCCAGCCUGCCAGUUCAAGUGGGAGUUAGAAGAGUGAGGACAAAGGGAGCACUUCAGAGUUUAAAAAAACAAGCUGAAUUGUAUUCAAGUCUCAAGGACUCUCAAUCUCAGAGUUUUGUGCAAGACCUACUUUCUUUAGGUUACUUUUACAGGGAAGAGGUGUCAAGAGAAUAAGCCUCUUUUGUGGUGGGUGAUGUUCUUUUUUUCUCAUAGUCAUUGCUUGUAUAGGUUUUCUCAUCUUCUUUCUCACCUGACAGUGUAUCCUUUCUUUAUUUUAGCAAUAACAGGGUAUAUAAACAAUGUUCUUUUGGGCUGUUGCCUAGUCUGCUAGGCUUUGUAUGACAAGGUCAAGGGAAUGUGAUUUCUCUGAUGACCUCGUGUUUUAAAAAGACAUAUUCAAAAUGUGUAAGCUAAGGCAUAUGACCAAGGAUAAAUAUUUUUAAAGAAGCAUAAGCUGGAGUUUGUAUAAAUUGCUCAGAAAAACAAAAAAAGGAUAUUUAUGCUUUUUUAAGAGUAAGAAGGCAAACAAGGAAACAAUAAACCCAC